ensembl:lncRNA
AACAACAUAAGUACAGUUAAGCUGUUUAGAGUUCCUAUUGGCUAGCACCGCGCUGGAGGUGUGUGCCCUGUAAACAAAUACUCUACCACUCUCGUUAUGACGGACAGGUUAGGUUAUAUAAGCAGUACCUAUGUGCGUAUACAGGAGGAUGUCGUACCACCAGCCACUACCACUUAGCUUGAUUAACGUCUACAGCUUAAGCGUGUGUGUCUGUGAUCCUUCUGCCAUUUGGACCACAGUAAGAAGUACGUCCUCAUCACCAUCGAGCCGUCAGCGCACCACGUAGGCCUACCUGGCAGAAGAGGAAAAUUAUCUUUUUGUCAAUUUCCACAAACCGAAACGUAUCCGUGUUCAGAACUCACUGGAAAUGUCUAUGUGUGAAUUAUAAAGAGAGUUCCCCUGCCUGUCGCUUUAACGCCAAAGAUAAGAAGGAUAGUAAACUGAUGCUCUUGUAGGGUAGUUUACAGCGCCUGAUCUCAAGCUUUUGAGUUGGACGGUCACCUUCUGUUGGUCAUGCUUUAUGCUCUUAAAAUGGACGGGUAAUUUCUCACAUUAUACUUAGAGCCUCACUGAAAUACCCCUCUCUCUCUCUCGCUCUCUCUCUCUCUCUCUCUCUCUCUCUCUCUCUCUCUCUCUCUCUCUCUCUCUCUCUCUCUCUCUCGCUCUCUCUCUCUCUCUCUCUCUCUCUCUCGCUCUCUCUCUCUCUCUCUCUCUCUCUCUCUCUCUCUCUCUCUCUCGCUCUCUCUCUCUCUCUCUCUCUCUCUCUCUCUCUCGCUCUCUCUAUAAAUAUAUAUAUCACAUACACAGACGCACACACACACAGUUUGUGUCAAUAUUCAUGCAUACAGUAUAUACAGAUAUACAUAUGCAAGACUUGGCAUGCACAGUUAUACAACCCCAGUUAUAUACGAAAAAGGUUGUGAUGACUUCACACAGCGUUAGCCUGAUGGAUAUUUAGAUGUCCCCGAACGGCGUAGCCUUUUAAGAGUGUGGAUUAACUGCCGACCCAACCUAGGAACCUUUGGGAUUACAGACAUGCGGACAAACAAACUUCUGUAAAUAUGACUGCUGUUUAACACAUAUCUGAUAUUGCAGAUUGUUCAUAUCAAACCAUCUCUGAUAGUGAGGACUUUCAUAUAACACAUAUCUCUAAUUGUGAACAUUUGCAAAUAUUUUUUUAUUUCAAACCCAUCUUCUAUAGUGAAGAUUUUCACAUAAAAUAUAUCUACAAUAGUGAAGAUCUGCAUAUAAAGGUUUCCAUCUGACCACUACUAGCUUGAGUAUGCACUGUGUAAUGUAUUGUCAGUACAAGUAAAGAUUGAUUAUAUACAAAGUAACAAGAAUAUGUUAUGCAGGGUAGUAUGUUGUCCUGGACAGCAUGUUCUCCAUACUAGUAGGUGUGCGAAAAUAUAGUUUUUUUGUCGAUUUUUGACGAAACCUUUUACCCAACUAUUCCCACGCACGCCUCAGAUGAAUAGAAUUUGAUAUACAAGCCUUUGGCCUUUUCUUUAGUGGUUUUCACAGUUUGUUUCAAGUUAUUCUGCAUUCGUUAAGUUGUGUUCCCUUUUAGACUAGGGUGACCACACAUCCCGUUUUUUCCAGGGACGUCCUGCUUAUCCCUGCUGUCAGUCCCUGUUUUGUCCCAUAUUUCCUCUUUCCUUAAACUUUAAUAACGGAGUUAAGAGCAAUAAUAUAAGUGUUAUGGGCAGUGGUGGACAGUAACGAAGUAGAUGUAAUUCGUUCCAGUACUUAAGUAACAUAUAGAUGUAUCUGUACUUUACUCAAGUCUUUUUUUAUUUGGUGAGACUUUAUACUUUUUACUCCACUACAUUUCAAAGUGAAAAUUCGUACUUUUUACUCCAUUACAUUUAGUAAAACCUCUCGUUCCUUUUUACCAAAGCGAAUCAAAUAAUGAGAGGUCAAAGCGAGUGCACAAUAACACCAAUCAGGGCUCAGCGCACGAUUUGCUCUGAAGUCCUUUCAGUUUUGUCAGUUCCGUUCAUUCGUUGAGCGCG